CCUCAGAGGGGCGAGCCCGCCGUGCCCGGCGCCAGCAGCCUCCUCCCCCGCCCGGGCAUCGCCGCGGGUCCUGCUCCGCUCCAUCCAGCCGCCCUCCCCGAGCUUUGUCGAGCCGACAGCCCCCCUCCGGGGAAGGGGAAGAUGUGCCUGACUUUAGGUUGCUCCUGGCCUGGAUGCGCAAGAGCCCAGCUCAAGGGCUUUUAGGGAUGAAGGUAGAAGGUUAAGCAGGAGACCAAGAGCUCGUGUCUACGCGGAGGAGAGAAUCUUCUAGGAGACGCUUCUUCAGGCAGUGAGGCCAAGCGGUUGGAGAAAAAGAGAUGAUUUUCACUACUAGCGCGUCAACGCCUUGGAACGGCGUUUGGAGUAUCAGCGCUCCCCCCGGACUGUUAUGCCUUGUAGCCAUGUAACCUUUCGGGUGCUCCUCUCAUUUUCUCCGUCUUAAGGAAAAGAUAUUUGUUGUUACGAUUACGCUGUUGCAGGAGGUAUUUAAACAGGAAAUGUGGUGUGUUAUGAGCGGGGUAUUACACCGGGAUACUGGACGCUUGAUGCUUUCUGCCCUUCUACAUCGCCUUUCCUACACGGUGCUGGGAAAGGCACUCAAUUUGGCUGUGUCCAAGCUCCCCAGCUAUGAAAUGAGAAUAAUAGACGCUUCCUGUCUCCCACCCUUUAUCCAGCUCCUCUAUUUAGAUGGUAAGCUCCUCAUCUCUGACCGUGUUUUUAUGCGUGGCUUAGAACAAUAGGACACUGAUCUCAGCUGGAACCUCCAGGCACUUCCAUAAUGCAAAUAUUGAAUACUAAAUAAUCAAAAUAAAAGAA